rnacentral:rRNA from 1 species
ACUUUCAACAACGGAUCUCUUGGUUCUCGCAUCGAUGAAGA